rnacentral:rRNA from 1 species
CAGUAGCCGCGGUAAUACAGAGGGUGCAAGCGUUAAUCGGAAUUACUGGGCAUAAAGCGCGCGUAGGUGGUUUGUUAAGUUGGAUGUGAAAUCCCCGGGCUCAACCUGGGAACUGCAUCCAAAACUGGCAGGCUAGAGUAGGGCAGAGGGUGGUGGAAUUUCCUGUGUAGCGGUGAAAUGCGUAGAUAUAGGAAGGAACACCAGUGGCGAAGGCGACCACCUGGGCUCAUACUGACACUGAGGUGCGAAGGCGUGGGGAGCAAACAGGAUUAGAUACCCCCGUAGUCCCUGUCUCUUAUAC